CCAAUAGCGUAUAUUAAAGUUGCUGCAGUUAAAAAGCUCGUAGUUGAAUUUCGGGAUCAAUAUGUUGGUCGUGCCUUGGUACGUACUAGCUUAUUGAUUUCUUCCUUCUGACGAACCAUGAUGUCAUUAAUUUGGUGUCAUGAGGAAUCAGGACUGUUACUUUGAAAAAAUUAGAGUGUUUAAAGCAGGCUCACGCUUGAAUACAUUAGCAUGGAAUAAUGAAAUAGGACGUUCGAUCCUAUUUUGUUGGUUUCUAGGAUUGACGUAAUGAUUAAUAGGGAUAGUUGGGGGCAUUAGUAUUCAAUUGUCAGAGGUGAAAUUCUUGGAUUUAUUGAAGACUAACUACUGCGAAAGCAUUUGCCAAGGAUGUUUUCAUUAAUCAAGAACGAAAGUUAGGGGAUCGAAGACGAUCAGAUACCGUCGUAGUCUUAACCAUAAACUAUGCCGACUAGGGAUCGGAUGAUGUUAAUUUUUUAAUGACUCAUUCGGCGCCUUACG
rnacentral:rRNA from 1 species